GCCAGGCAUGGUGGUGUAUGCCUGUCAUCCCAGCAGCUUGGGAGGCUGAGGCAGGAGGAUGGCAAGUUCAAAGCCAGCCUCAG
rnacentral:sRNA from 1 species